CGUCGGUCCGUCGGUCCGUCUGUCCGUCUGUCCGUCGGUCCGUCGGUCCGUCGGUCCGUCUGUCCGUCGGUCCGUCGGUACGUCUGUCCGUCAGUCCCGGAGGAGGGGAGGCGGAGCCCCACCCUACACCUCCGCCCCACGUCUGUCUGAAGAUCUGAUAAGGCCGAGGUUUAACUCGAUGAGCCGGUGGGAUCUGGUUCUCGGGCCUCGGAGGCGAGACUCCUCCAACACUCCUGUCUGAAGGGGGAGGCGGAAAGCAAUUCAGACGUAAUGCAAGCCAUGAGACACGCCGUUGAACCACUCCAGGAGGCAGAUCCAAUGGAGGACCCCCCCCCCCACGCUCCCAGACCGUCUGGGCGCUCGCCGGUGAUCUGAUUGCUGCAGAGUGCACUUUUUACCAAGAGGAGACAAAUCAUUUCCACGUUGUCGACGUCCGUGAAGGAUGAACACCACAAGUGUUUUUGAGACAUGGCUGGCUUUUUACGCUCUCUGGAUGACGAUGUCUCCCCCCCUCAAAGACACUAAGCCCCAGCAGCCCCCAGGGACCCUGUCCUCAGAGCUGUCUGACCGUUAACCCCUAACUAUUGUUUGCUCAUGCCGUUGGUUCUCAGCCCCAGACUGACGUGUGUUCCUGCACACCCUCCUCAUCCUCAUCAGAUUAGGACUUCAGGAGGAAGAGGAAAAGCAGGAAGUCCAAACAUAGCCCCACGACCCUCGAACAAUGCUCAGUGCCUCAUGUCUGCUCCACCUCGCUGUAACGUCUUUCUUUCAAACGGAACCAAUAACUCGUUCUUUGGAAUCAAGCCAUACACCCCAGGACAGCUCCCCGCUCCACCACGGCUCACCGAAAGAAGCCCCCUCCAGGCGACCUCCACCCACCAUGCCCCCCGACUGAAGAGGGCCUGCUCUUCGUCUGAGUGGACUUCAGAAGCCAUGUCGAACAGAUCCGGAGGAAAACCUCCCUGAUGUCAGAACGGUCCAUUCACUCGAUCCAACAGCUUGUUUUGAUGUCCUGCUUCUAGAGAGUUCUUCUUGCACACUAAUGCGGUCGACUGUUGGUUUGUUUUUUUCAUGAAGAGAUUAUUGCCGAAUGUUUUGUUGAAAGUCUUAAAAAUGUAUUAAACAGGGUUGAUCGGUUCCCAGGUCCGUUUUAAGUCAGCGAAGGGACCAUUCUUUUAAAAAGAGUCAGACGUUUUGAAAAGUGAAUAAACUCAACAAACAACUUUAACUUGCUAAGAUCUCCUAUUAUGCAAAUCUUGUGUUGGACGGUUAUUUUUUAUAAGCAGGAUCCCCGACUGGAUAACAGGAGCAGCUUGAGACUCUGACAAUGACCUGAGGUCAGCCACCUGAGGAACCAGAGCUCAACCACAGACUACAGACCUGAGAACCAGAGCUCGACCAGACUACAGACCUGAGGAACCAGAAGUCCACCACAGACUACAGACCUGAGGAACCAGAGUCCACCACAGACUACAGACCUGAGGAACCAGAGUCCACCACAGACCACAGACCUGAGGAACCAGAGCUCAACCAGACUACAGACCAGAGGAACCAGAGCUCGACCAGACUACAGCCCUGAGGAACCAGAUCCACCACAGACUACAGACCUGAAUGAGAUGAUUCUACCAGGCAGAGGAGGAACGCCUUCAUAGCAUGUUGGUCUUGGGCAACGAGGUUACUCAUCGGUUUUAAAUGAUGUCAAGAAAAUCGACAAACACAGACUGCACUAAACUCUCCAGUGGACUGUUGCAUCUCGCUUUAGAAGUCCGUUUUUUGGGAUUAAGUUUUAAAAAGGACUUUGGAAAUGCGUUUCUCUUUUCAUGGUUCCUGGUUAUGUGGACUGAGGACUCCCAGUGUAUAAAUGAUCCUUCUGUAAGAUGAUAGUAUUCUGAUUGAAUACGUUAACAUAGCCUAGUUCCUCAUGUAUCCUAUUAUAUAAAACCUUUACCUAACACAUGGAGUCGGAUGUUCAUUCCUGUGUCUCUGUUUGGCUUUGUCUCUCCACAUAUUAGUUACUGAAUAACUGCCCUAAGGGACAGUUAUUCAGUAACUACUGAGGACUUACUGGUAAACAGACUAGGGGAUACUGUAUUAAUUCACCAUUCUGUGAAUUAGCAAACUGACCAAUUUAUUCUGAAAGCAACUGAAUUUUCCUGGGAUUUCACAAUUAGUUAUUAAAUUAACAGGGCACAGACGGGUUUAUUGUCAUAUUUUAAUAAAGAUAUUCACAAUACAUACAUUAAUAUUCACAUUUAAGGUUUAUUAUGUGGCGGUAGUAAUGUUAAA
ensembl:lncRNA